UACGUAGGGUGCGAGCGUUGUCCGGAAUUAUUGGGCGUAAAGAGCUCGUAGGCGGUUUGUCGCGUCGACUGUGAAAACCUACAGCUUAACUGUGGGCUUGCAGUCGAUACGGGCAGACUUGAGUUCGGUAGGGGAGACUGGAAUUCCUGGUGUAGCGGUGAAAUGCGCAGAUAUCAGGAGGAACACCGGUGGCGAAGGCGGGUCUCUGGGCCACUACUGACGCUGAGGAGCGAAAGUGUGGGGAGCGAACAGG
rnacentral:rRNA from 1 species